UACGUAGGGGGGCAAGCGUUUGUCCGGAAUUAUUGGGCGUAAAGAGCGUGUAGGCGGUCCGGUAAGUCAGCUGUGAAAGUCAAGGGCUCAACCCUUGAAUGCCGGUUGAUACUGUCGGGCUAGAGUCCGGAAGAGGCGAGUGGAAUUCCCCGGUGUAGCGGUGAAAUGCGCAGAUAUCGGGAGGAACACCAAUGGCGAAGGCAGCUCGCUGGGACGGUACUGACGCUGAGACGCGAAAGCGUGGGGAGCAAACAGG
rnacentral:rRNA from 1 species